CUGGAACUCCCAGGACAGUGCCCCUCCAGGGCCCACAGGGGAGAGCAGGAACCCACAGCAAGGCGUCCAGACCCCCAGGGGACCUCUGCAAACACAACUUUUCUGGACAAUGGGAAUAAUAAGGCCUCAGGAUUACUGUGAGAGCCAGAAAUCCCAGGAGGCCUGCCAGAGAGUGGCCUUCAUAUGAUGAUAUUAUCAUCAUCAUCAGAGCUGGGGCAUUUCUGAGCCUAUUGCCCCUGCCCUGGCCUCCAGGCUGCUAAACCCUCAAGCUGUCCUUGGACUCGGGCCCUGGUCCUGUUCUUAGAGACUUCAAAGGGUCCUGCUGGGAAAUUCUCCCAGGGUCUGAAGCCCUUUCUCCUUCGGUACUUGGUGGAGGUGGAAGGCAGCCGGAGCUAGCUCCCCUAAACCCACAGACUCCCGGCCUGACACAGCCAUCCCACGGGCUCCCGGCCCUGGGAGGCCCAGGAAGGCCAGCUGGGAGUUCAGGAAAAGUCCCUGAACCGCACUGACUGAGCAUCUGAUUUAGGGGUAGGUGGGGCUGCCAUCAGGACAGGGAGAUUCUCGUCCAGCCCAGACGAGGCACCCGGGCCUGUGGGUGGAGCCGUGGAAACACAGUGGCCUGGCGCUGGCCCUCCCAGGCUGGGGCUCAGGGCUCUGUUCUCUCUCCUGCUUCUCACACCACCCAGGUAGGUCCUUAGAGGCCUGGACAAUAAUAGCCCCUUAGCUGAUGACAGCAACAAUGACAAUUCACGUUGCUGAGCACUCCACCCCCAGGCCCUCGCUUCAUCCCCACAACCCUGUGAUGCGCCCCCUCAUAUUCCCAUGUGCGGACAGGACAUUGAGGGCUGGAACACUGAGAGCCUGGCUGUGGGCAGCUCUGCCCACCAGGCCACACUGCCUUCGGUUCCAGGGCAGACACCACUGAGAGCAGUAGGGUGAGGGAGAGGAUGCAGAAGGAGCCCCCCAAAUCCCCAGCCCAGACCAGGGGUCCCUUCAUAUUCCCUAAUGAAGGCACUCAGGCCUCCCUGGUAGGAUUUCAGGGGGGUCACUAAAGACAGGCAGAUCGCCAUGUACCAUUUAGAGACAAAUUCGCGGCCUUUGUGGAGAGACUGAGAGGAAAGCCCCAGCCCCGCACAACUGCCCUUUCAGAACAUUCCAGAGCCUGAGCUUCCGAAGGGGCAAACCAAAGUCAGGACCAGGUGGCAGGGGCCAAAAAGGCCCAGGGGAAGCAGGGCCAGAGCCUGGCCUAAGACCCCAGGUUUAGUUCCCAUAAAACCCAAUUGCCUGCAAGAGGGCCCAGUGCCAGAGGGGACAAUGCCAUCACCUCACGUCAGGGGGACAGAGAGAGGGCUGCCCCAAUCACAGAGCUUAACCUUAGCACUACAGGGGGUACCCCUGGGGACCUCUCAUGGCCACCCUCACCUUGUCUUUCUGUCUGGGUUUGCCCUUGGGUGAGGGUGGGCCCAAGGCCCACUGCUCUCCCUGCCUGACCUGUGCUGGAAGGUGCUCAUCACACCCUUGGGGUCCAGAAUCAGCCUGGAUCUGCAGAUGGGGGCACUUCACUACUCCCCGACAAGCCCUGUCAGUCACUGGGGGCCUGUGGUCCUUGCCAGCAGCAGGGCCAGGGCUCAAAUAGAGGCCCACCUCCUCACAAACCUUCACAUCAGAUACGUGCUGUCUCCCUGCCUCAGACGCCUUUAAAGACCUGGAAGGCCACAUCUGAACUUUGCAUUCCUGCACUGGAACAAGACAACAGGGUGCUGGAGACCCAGCUGGGCUUCCUGCUGGCCCCUUCCUCCACCAUCUCUUCACUCUCCCUCCUCACCUCCUGGCUCUCCUUCCUGCUUUUUCUCCUGACAGGUCGGCCCUCUAACAUACUAGCACAUAUAUUUCACCACGUUCCCCUCCCUCGAUGGUGACCCCCUGUGAGGAAGGGAUUUUUGUCUUUGAGUUCACUGUUGUAUGUAGCUCCAGGCACAAAGAAGGGACACAAACAUUUGUUGAAUGAAAGGAUUAAUUGGGUUAAAUGAAUUGGAUUAAAAAUCCCCUUUAAGUCUUCUCUUUGAAAAUGCAAAUCCCCCAGGACAAGAAAGAGACCUGUGCAAGGCCUAGGAUAACACCAGCUGUGCUGGAUGUUUAACCACCAGCUCUGAUCAUAAAUGUACUUGUGUCCUCUGCACUGUACAAACAUAAAGGAUGUGUAGCACACAAUUUACAAAUAAUACAGAAAUGUACACUAUUCUUUAUUAUAAAUUCCAUCUAGGGCUGGGUGCAGUGGCUCACCCCAAGUUUUGCCAACUCUUAUAUCCAUUGCCAACCUAUAGUUUCGAUUCAACCAUGAUUUGACAAAUGAAGCUGCGCGCCAAUGAGUGCGAUUCUUUUUCCAAUGAAUGAAUGGUCAUUAAACCUGAUGUGAUCUACUGUUAAACUAUUUCUCACCCUUUUACCAAACACAUUCAUUAAAUUGAAACUUCUUUCAAAUCUCCAUCUCCACUGAUCACAAUAGGGCUGUCUUUUUAACUUUUUGUACAGAUAGAUGUAGGGAUUGAAACACUGUUUGAUCCUACAUUAUUUAAUAAUGGCUGGCUUUAACAUCCUGCUUGCAAAAUUCCUAAAACUAUGGCUCUUGCUAGCUGUAGUGAGCCAGCCCCAGCCCACAUGUGGGUGACACCUGGCUAUGCCUGGCCCAGCGUCCAGCAUGUAACUGACAUUAUUCCCCUCUGUCCGUGGCUCGCAGCAGCCUGGUAAGGUGGCAUAUCCUACUUCAUAGGUGAGAAAACCGAGGCUCAAGGGUGAUUAGGCUUCAGGUCUGCUGCCUCCAAAGCCCCUGUUCUUCCCACUUCGCUAGGCCACCCCAUCCAGUCUUUCACACACUCAUUAAACACUGGUGGCCACUUUCUUGGUGUCAGAUACUGGGAUACAAAGACAAUUUACCUUCUUCCCUUCUGGGAGCUUUGGCUAUCCCAGGAGGGAGGGUCAGUGAGCCUCAAAACCAGGCAUGGGUGGGAGGAUGCUGAGGCUGAAGGCUGGACUCCAGCCCUCAGUCCACCAUUCAUUAUCACCGUUAGACCUGGACAAGAGGGCACUGCCCCGGGCCCUGUGUUUUAAAAGUCCCUGCUCCUGCCCUGGCCCUCCUCUUGGGAUAAAGAGUUCCAGGGUUCUACGUGGAGGUGCCCACCUGGAGCUCACAAUUCCUGCCCCUCUGGACCAAGCUCAGAAUACCCAGAACUCUGGAACUCCUGCCCAGGUAACCCUAACCCCACUUGGCUGGGCUCUCAGGACCCUACCCUGGAUCACAAGGGCCCAAGGUGCCUGUAAUUUUAUCUCCAGUGGUCAGCGAAGGACUCACUGAGAAGGCGAUGUUUCAGCAAAGACCUGGAGGAAUGGGAUGCCUCGGGGGACUCUCAGGCCCAUUGACGUCCACUGUUGGGACAGGUUUC
rnacentral:lncRNA from 10 species